rnacentral:rRNA from 1 species
GACGAACGCUGGCGGCGUGCUUAACACAUGCAAGUCGAACGGUGAAGACCCAGCUUGCUGGAGUGGAUCAGUGGCGAACGGGUGAGUAACACGUGAGCAACCUGCCCCUGACUCUGGAAUAAGCGCUGGAAACGGCGGCUAAUACUGGAUACGAGAAGGGUCCGCAUGGGCACUCUCUGGAAAGUUUUUCGGUUGGGGAUGGUCUCGCGGGCUAUCAGCUUGUUGGUGAGGUAAUGGCUCACCAAGGCUACGACGGGUAGCCGGCCUGAGAGGGCGACCGGCCACACUGGGACUGAGACACGGCCCAGACUCCUACGGGAGGCAGCAGUGGGGAAUAUUGCACAAUGGGCGGAAGCCUGAUGCAGCGACGCCGCGUGAGGGAUGACGGCCUUCGGGUUGUAAACCUCUUUCAGCAGGGAAGAAGCGAAAGUGACGGUACCUGCAGAAGAAGCACCGGCUAACUACGUG